UUUUUUUGGGGGGGCUUGGCUGGAAUGAUCGAGGGAGGGAGGGGGAGGAAGAGGAGCGCCGCGGCCGGGGACGGCCCCGCAGGACGGCUGGACUGCGCGCUCCCGGGAAGGGAAUGCGCCCAAGCGCUUCGCCAAGCUGGCUAAGCAAUGCGCUUUUAAAGACAGCAAAAGGUUUCCCUCCUCUCAGCCAGGCUGGCCAAAGGUUCUUGGGAAUUCCACGCCCCCCCCCAAAAAAGUAACGUUUCCCAGUAACGGGAAAGCCACCUUUGUCAGCUCACCUGGGAAACUUUUCCAGCGCUCUCUCGUCCCCCGCUGGCGAAGGUGCCUGGGAAAUGUAGUCCAGAAGAGUAAUGGGAGCUCCCUGAUAGGAGGCAGAGGCUUGGCCUCUCAGGUGAGUCUCUCUGGGGGAAAGGGGGCGUGGCCUGGGGAGGCUCCUCCCCCCAGUUUUUCCAGGCAGGUGUAAGUUCCUUUCCUCCAGGAUAAAAGGGAGAAGGGAGUUUUCCUGAAGAAAGGAGGCUGAUCCAGAGGAGAAGGAUGCCAACAAGCCAGCUGCGAUGGUCACCUACAACUCCGGUUUGGGGAAUAAACAAGAAACGGAUUUCAGAGAAGGGUUGAUGUGACCGCAGUGCGCCGCUAUCGGCGGUUUCGAGCCUGCUGGAAGAAAACUGGAAACGGAAAAAGGGAAGAAGGACAUAAAGAAAUUAACAGACAGGCUUUUGGGGACAACAGCUGCAUUCCCAGCGUCUUCUGGACCAAACAGAAGGGCGACUCCAGAUUCUGUUUGCUGUUCCUGGCACCGCGGAAAAACAGCUUAGUCAUCAUCACGCGGACGGCGGAGCCAAAGACUGUCCGAACUCAUUUGGUUCGCUCAAAGGAGGAAAUUUCCCCUUCGAUUCGGACAGGAUCGUUUUAACCCUCACCUGCCUGUUGGUUAAUUUCUAAAUCUAGUUAGGGCUUGUUCGGAGUGGCAUUUGUUUGGCCUGUGGCAGGGGCUCCCCAAGCACAGAAUGUCAUCACUAGAGGGGAACAAUUCGCACCCAGAACGCC